GUGUGUCUGUUUGGUUAAAUGAAUUAAGCAACCCAUGCAACAGUAACAUUUAGAUGUUAAAUAUUUUUAAAUUAUCGAACGUCUCCUGUAAGUUUUAAAAUUGAGUAUUUUCAAGACGUCACAAUACUUAUUUUUACAAAAGCGGAUGCGACUGCCUCCUCCGUGACGUCGGAUUCGAUACCAGUCAAGAAAGAACAGCUUCAUCUCUCAUUCAGAGAGUGAAUUGGAUGAGACUCAGUGUUGCCUCUUGCGGAAAAAACAAAACAAAACAUAAAAUCAUGGGUAAAAUACACCAGGUCAAAGUGUUCGGGAUUGAUCGUGAGCUUAAGGUGAUUGACCUCUGCGACUCCGAGGAGAUGAUGAAGAAAAUGACUGUCCGAGAUCUGAAAAAAAAAGUUGUGGAGAGGUUUCCCGGGCCCACAGAUGAUCUGCAGAUGAUCUUCGCAAACCACCGGCUGGAUGACGAAAAUGAACUUCUGUAUAAAUAUGGAAUCCAGCACUUGUCUGUUAUCCAGCUGGUAGUGAGGCUUAAUGGGGGACUACCAGCUUGAUAGAGGGCGACAGAGACCACAAUCAGCAUCUCCAAGUGUUUUUUACUGAUCAAUUAAAAGAUCAAUUAAAUUAAAUGUAUUUUAGGCUCAUUUUCUAGUUGUCUAGCUGUCGGACUGCUCCCAUAAUGUUUCUUUUUUUUUUUUGUUAUAAAGGUCUGUGUUGAAAAUGUAAUCCUGAUCUCAAAAUAAAUUCAUAAAUAAAGGAUUCAAUAUUGAUGUCAUAACAAACGAAAACUGUUGACGCAGUCCUUAGGUUUUGAUUAUCACUGACUUUUAUUACAAUGUUGAAUUCUUGAAGAAAAAAGAAAACUGAAGAAUAAAUUGUCACAGAAAUAAAAAUCUGUUUCCCUCUGGUUCUCUAUCUCUGUAAAUCGUAAACUGAAAUAAGAUCUCUAAUAAAGCCUAAAUGGACAAAGCAUA